CCAGACUCCUACGGGAGGCAGCAGUGGGGAAUAUUGCACAAUGGGGGAAACCCUGAUGCAGCGACGCCGCGUGAGCGAAGAAGUAUUUCGGUAUGUAAAGCUCUAUCAGCAGGGAAGAAAAAAUGACGGUACCUGACUAAGAAGCACCGGCUAAAUACGUGCCAGCAGCCGCGGUAAUACGUAUGGUGCAAGCGUUAUCCGGAUUUACUGGGUGUAAAGGGAGCGCAGGCGGUACGGCAAGUCUGAUGUGAAAGCCCGGGGCUCAACCCCGGUACUGCAUUGGAAACUGUCGGACUAGAGUGUCGGAGGGGUAAGUGGAAUUCCUAGUGUAGCGGUGAAAUGCGUAGAUAUUAGGAGGAACACCAGUGGCGAAGGCGACUUUCUGGACUGUACCUGACGCUGAGGCGCGAAAGCGUGGGUAGCGAACGGGAUUAGAUACCCCUGUAC
rnacentral:rRNA from 1 species